GACGAACGCUGGCGGCGUGCCUAAUACAUGCAAGUAGGACGCAGUUGCGAACGGGUGAGUAACGCGUAGGUAACUGCCUAUUAGAGGGGGAUAACUAUUGGAAACGAUAGCUAAUACCGCAUACUAGUAGAUGGACCUGCGUUGUAUUAGCUAGUAGGUAGGGUAAUGGCCUACCUAGGCGACGAGACAUAGCCCACCUGAGAGGGUGAUCGGCCACACUGGGACUUGGGAACGGCCCAGGCGCCUACGGGAGGCAGCAGUAAGGAAUCUUCGGCAAUGGGGGGAACCCUGACCGAGCACCGCCGCGGGAGUGAAGAAGGUUUUCGGAUCGUAAAGCUCUGUUGUUAAGGAAGCGGUACUUAACCAGAAAGGGACGGCUAACUACGGGCCAGCAGCCGCGGUAAUUC
rnacentral:rRNA from 1 species